UUGACGGGGCCCGCACAGCAGUGGAGUAUGUGGUUUAAUUCGACGCAACGCGAAGAACCUUACCAGGGCUUGACAUCCCCUGACGGGCGUGGAGACACGUCUUUCCCUUCGGGGACAGGGAGACAGGUGGUGCAUGGUUGUCGUCAGCUCGUGUCGUGAGAUGUUGGGUUAAGUCCCGCAACAAGCGCAACCCCUAUUGCCAGUUGCCAGCAAGAAAGAUGGGCACUCUGGCGAGACUGCCGUUGACAAAACGGAGGAAGGUGGGACGACGUCAAAUCAUCAUGCCCCUUAUGUUCUGGGCUACACACGUGCUACAAUGGCCGGUACAGACGGACGCAAAGCCGCGAGGUGGAGCAAAUCCUAAAAAGCCGGUCUCAGUUCGGAUUGCAGGCUGCAAUUCGCCUGCAUGAAGUCGGAAUCGCUAGUAAUCGCAGGUCAGCAUACUGCGGUGAAUACGUUCCCGGGCCUU
rnacentral:rRNA from 1 species